rnacentral:rRNA from 1 species
AUGGCCCCGCGGUGCAUUAGCUAGUUGGCAAGGUAAAGGCUUACCAAGGGCGAUGAUGCAUAGCCCGAGUUGAGAGACUGAUCGGCCACAUUGGGGACUGAGACACGGCCCAAACUCCUACGGGAGGCAGCAGUAGGGAAUCUUCCACAAUGGACGCAAGUCUGAUGGAGCAAAUGCCGCGUGAGUGAAGAAGGUUUUCGGAUCGUAAAAAGCUCUGUUGUUGGUGAAGAAGGAUAGGAGGUAGUAACUGGUCCCUUUAUUUGACGGUAAUCAACCAGAAAGUCACGGGCUAACUACGUGCCCAGCAGCCGCGGUAAAU